rnacentral:rRNA from 1 species
UAGGGAAUCUUCCGCAAUGGACGAAAGUCUGACGGAGCAACGCCGCGUGAGUGAUGAAGGUUUUCGGAUCGUAAAACUCUGUUGUUAGGGAAGAACAAGUGCGAGAGUAACUGCUCGCACCUUGACGGUACCUAACCAGAAAGCCACGGCUAACUACGUGCCAGCAGCCGCGGUAAUACGUAGGUGGCAAGCGUUGUCCGGAAUUAUUGGGCGUAAAGCGCGCGCAGGCGGUUUCUUAAGUCUGAUGUGAAAGCCCCCGGCUCAACCGGGGAGGGUCAUUGGAAACUGGGAAACUUGAGUGCAGAAGAGGAGAGUGGAAUUCCACGUGUAGCGGUGAAAUGCGUAGAGAUGUGGAGGAACACCAGUGGCGAAGGCGACUCUCUGGUCUGUAACUGACGCUGAGGCGCGAAAGCGUGGGGAGCGAACAG